UCCCUCACCUUCAAUAUCUGAGUAAAUUUCCUCAUUUCGCUUACCCCCCAGGUAAUAUCUGAUCACUCUGGCCUACCUUCAACAAGAAUCCUUUUAGAUUAUCUAUGUUUCCUCUUAGUAAUUUUCCAUCCUCUGAUCUUUCUUGCCUUCCCCCAACUUCUUCUUGGCUAUAAAUCCCCACUUGUUCUUGUUGUACUUGGAAUUGAGCCCAGUUCUACACAGAGGUCUCUUUCCUCCUUUUGCAAUAAUUUCUGAGGAAAAAAACAUCUCUUUUUACUGCUUUAAGUACUAUCCCACUCUGGUUUUCUCUAAUAUCUGUUCAAGUCCCCAAAACAUGCUACAGUUGCCAGUUAGAGUUCUAUAUUUGUGUCUAACAAUGCCUUGAGGAGUUCUUUCACUCAAGCCUUUAUAAAGAGUACAAAAAUGUUGAUGGAGAAGAGUGAGUUUCCAUAGUCUGAGCUAAAUGUGGGAAAAUAUGUCAUGCUUACUGAUGUUCAUGGAUGAAAGAGGGAAGGAAAGUCCACCAAAAGAUUCUGUAUGAUUUAGAGACCAGGUAGCUUCAAGGGGAGAAAUUUACUCUGGAGUGAGCCAAGAAAGUUGAGGCUGGCCAACCCUGUGUGAAGCUAAUGAGCCCUCACAGAUGGGUGAGAAAGGGAAGUUGGAGGAGAUUGUUUUCAGUCCCACCAGUCUCCCUUGAGAACUGUAUCAACUGAUAUAAAAAACAUAUUACUCUGAUCUCUGUGAGAUGCUAAGAUAUCAAGUUGCUCAGUUGUGUUGGACUCUUGGACCCCAUGGACUGUAGCACACCAGGCUUCCCUGUCCUUCACCAUCUCCUGGAGCUUGCUCAAAUUCAUGUCCAUCGAGUCCACCCAUUUCAUCCUUUGUCGUCCCCUUCUCCUGCCUUCAAUCUUUACCAGCAUCAGGACCUUUUCUAAUGAGUCGGCUGUCUGCAUCAGGUGGCCAAAGUAUUGGAGCUUCAACUUCAGCAUCAGUCCUUCCAGUGAUUCAGGAUUGAUUUCCUUUAGGACGGACUAGUUUGAUAUCCUUGCAAGUGACUCUCAAGAGUCUUCUUCAACACCACAAUUCAAAGGCAUUGAUUCUUCGGUGCUCAGCAUUCUUGAUGGUCCAAUUCUCACAUCCAUACAUGAUAACUGGAAAAACCACAGCCUUGAAGUUUGACUAUACAGCUCUUUGUUGGCAAAGUAAUGUCUCUGCUUUUUAAUACGCUGUCUGGGUU
ensembl:lncRNA